AAUUCAUAUGGCACCUCCUGGGGAGAUAAGGGUUACAUGUACGCUAGGCGUGGGGUUCAGCAACCCGGGGGCAUGUGUGGGAUCGCUGCGAAGGCCAGCUACCCGAACAUGUGAGUGCGACACAUCUUGUGUUUAAUAAUAAUAAUAAAGUGAACACAAGUGUUGCUUGUGCCUUCUGUGUGACCUUGGUUGCCCUAACUCCUAAUCAUGCAUGCAUUCUUGGAUGGUGACACGCACACCUUCUGUAUAAUUUUGUUUAGAUGCUGUGCGUUCAGUUUUGUGAGCAGCCGUGUCUGGGUCGAUAUUCUAGUUGUAUGUUUCAGAAUGUUAAGGCUGCAGGUGCUGGCUUUGGUUUGCGGACAGAGGAGUUUGCUGGCAGCAGAAGGAACAGCAAAUGAUCAGAAGUGUAGUAUAUGCAGUGUUCACUUUUUACCCCAAGCUCCGCCUGUGGUAUGAGAUGAGAGCAGCUUAUCAAUGGGCUAUCUUUGUUCUCUUAGUGUCAGCCCUCCUCCUGUUUGGGCAAAAAAAUUCACCACAAAAGCAGAAGCGGAUGCAGCCAUGCAUGUGCUCCUUUUUUAAUGUCCGGCGUUCAUUCAUAGAGGUAAUAUUAGUUCCAUGUAGAUAAGGUUCGAGAAGAGAACAAAAUUUAACUGCUUAUUUUUCAAUUUCUUGAGGAUAAUGAGCAGAUCAAUGAUCAAUUAGUGCCCUCACUGUUGUUAACAAAUUGGUUUUAAUUAUGAUGCAUGGACAGGAUGAGGAUCUGUGGUGAUUUACUUAUUUGGGUAUCUAUCAAGUUGAUGUUCAAAUGUGACUUCUUGUUGUCGGUUUGGAGUGAGUGACCAAUGGCAAGACUGCGAUGGGCAUCUUCCUCUGUGGGACGCCAUGGCACGAUAAUAUUUGAAACUGUUUCUUCAUGGUUUACUUUUUUUUAUAUUAAUACCUCCAAGACGUCUGAUAAAAUUCCUCUAUGGGUUAUAUCAUCUAAUUGCUUAGUACGUCUGUUACCACAGAUUGCUUUCAUGAUACACUAGGGAAGAAUCAGUCACUUUUGUUUAAUGUCUUUGCCAAAGUUGCUUAAUGUAAUUUUGUAUUUUCCAGUGUGGAAAUCUCUUGCAUUUAUGGUCGUGUUGUUUUAUUGAACCUACAUUGUGAAUUACUUGUUUCCAUUUUUCUGGAAAGAUAUUUGACAAAAAAAUAAUUCCAGCAGGUUAAAUGUAUCAGAUGGGCAUUACUCACUGUUCUAGCAGAAUUCAUCAAUAAUCAAGCUUCUGGUAGGUUAAAUGUAUCAGGUGGGCAUCCAGUUGCUCAAAUUCAUGGUCCCAGUCUGGGACGGAAAUUGUCAAGUUCAGGAAGAAAGUAGAACAGUAGGAUUUCUUAGGUGGCGUGGUACAUUUACUUUAGGUUAAGUUCUGUAGUUCUUGAAUUUAUUUGUGCAACUGAAAUUUUAGGGUGAUCUUCAUGGUACUCUGCAAAUUCUGCUCAGAGCUCAAAGUAGUAGGGAAAUAUUUUGUCAAGCUGGAGGCGAAGCUGUCCAGUGAAUCCGAUGGCCGCAUUAUUGAAGAAUGCAAUUUUCGCCUUUUCAUCUAUUCUUGGGAAUGCCAGCAAACGAAUGUUCUCUAGCUUUUACUAUUGUUUGCCCUGAUUAGGGCAUUAGGCAGCUCGAUGAGAACACUGAUUUUGUAUGUUAUUUUUGGUAUAAUCAUUUCCUCA